AACGAACGCUGGCGGCAGGCCUAACACAUGCAAGUCGAGCGAAGCCUUCGGGCUUAGCGGCGGACGGGUGAGUAACGCGUGGGAACGUGCCCUUUGCUACGGAAUAGCCCCGGGAAACUGGGAGUAAUACCGUAUGUGCCCUUCGGGGGAAAGAUUUAUCGGCAAAGGAUCGGCCCGCGUUGGAUUAGGUAGUUGGUGGGGUAAUGGCCUACCAAGCCGACGAUCCAUAGCUGGUUUGAGAGGAUGAUCAGCCACACUGGGACUGAGACACGGCCCAGCCUCCUACGGGAGGCAGCAGUGGAGAAUCUUAGACAAUGGGGGAAGCCCUGAUCUAGCCAUGCCGCGUGAUCGAUGAAGGCCUUAGGGUUGUAAAGAUCUUUCAGUGGGGAGGAUAAUGACUGUACCCACAGAAGAAGCCCCGGCUAACUCCGUGCCAGCCGCCGCCGUAACAC
rnacentral:rRNA from 1 species